ACAGAGCAGUUUUGUUGAGUCACAAGGUAUACAGUUAUCACAGCCACAGUUACUCAUUUGGUAUUCUGACUUGCAACCUGCUUCCUACCGCUGUGAGCAAUUCUCUAGGAGCUGGACAAUUGUGCUGCACAGUGUAACCACCUGAGCCAGCAUCCAUGGAGAGAACAGCAGGAGGGUAUUGGCCGAAUGUUAUGGUCAUUUACUUGCUGCAUUUGCAGUAAAACCCUCUGUCAAUAAUUGCAUUCUGUGUUUUAUGAACUAAGAGUACAAGUCCCGAGCUUAGGAAUUUACUGAUGGCUCCAACAUGACCCCAUUGUCACACCUGCACCCAGCCCAAACCUUGGCAGUGGAGGAAGGUCCUCUGGCACGACUUAAAGAAAGCAGAAGACAUUGAAAGCAGGAAUAUCACAGGACAUCAAACAUACAAGAGCGCCAAGCAAACCUCUUUCUUCCAAAUGUGGUCUCUAGAAGAAGCCAAGUAGAGCUACAGUUCAGGUUUCACGUCAUCAAUGUGGAGCCUAUGGGAACCAAAGGUGACUUUAGAAUGGAUCUGCUGAUGCAACCCUGGGUUCUGUGUCUGUAACGCUCAGAGCUGAAGCCUGAGGGAUGAAGAACCCAGCUGUGCCACCCUACUUCGUUAAGGAGUAUUUACUCACUUUGAUUACUCUCAUAAGGAAGUGGAUUUUAGUUACUGGUUUGACAUGGAGCCUUCAGGAAGAGACACUCUAUUCUAAAAGCCUCUGCCAGGGCACAGCAUCUCCUGGUGCCUUCUCACCAUCCCUGGCCAACAUUCUCAUAAUCACAAGACAAGAAAUAUUCUUCCUUGGGACAGUCUAAAUGGUACAUAAAUCAGAACAGCUGAAUUAAGAUUUGAAAUGUGCUACUUCUAUCUCAAGCCCAAUGAAGAGCUGUGUGUUUGAGAAUUUGCCUAUUUUUUUUUCAUCUAAUAAAAGCUAUUUACUCUACCAGUGAAUCGGAAACCAAAUACCAAAUCUUUACUGCUUAAUAAAUACCAAAACCUAAAUAUUUUGCUAAUUACUUUUCCCAUUGAGCAGAUUAUAGGGGAUGUUGCUCAGCUCAUAUCAGUGAAAUACAGUACUUUACUGAUCUUGGAAAACUACUUGGAUUUGUUUUUUUUCCUGAGCUCUCCUUUCUCUUUCCAAAG
ensembl:lncRNA